rnacentral:rRNA from 1 species
UACGAAGGGGGCUAGCGUUGCUCGGAAUCACUGGGCGUAAAGGAUGCGUAGGCGGGUCUUUAAGUCAGGGGUGAAAUCCUGGAGCUCAACUCCAGAACUGCCUUUGAUACUGAGGAUCUUGAGUUCGGGAGAGGUGAGUGGAACUGCGAGUGUAGAGGUGAAAUUCGUAGAUAUUCGCAAGAACACCAGUGGCGAAGGCGGCUCACUGGCCCGAUACUGACGCUGAGGCACGAAAGCGUGGGGAGCAAACAGG